rnacentral:rRNA from 1 species
UAGGGAAUCUUCCACAAUGGACGCAAGUCUGAUGGAGCAACGCCGCGUGAGUGAAGAAGGCUUUCGGGUCGUAAAACUCUGUUAUUGAAGAAGAACGUGUGUGACAGUAACUGGUCAUGUAGUGACGGUAUUCAAUCAGAAAGUCACGGCUAACUACGUGCCAGCAGCCGCGGUAAUACGUAGGUGGCAAGCGUUGUCCGGAUUUAUUGGGCGUAAAGCGAGUGCAGGCGGUCUUUUAAGUCUGAUGUGAAAGCCUUCGGCUUAACCGAAGAAGGGCAUCGGAAACUGGGAGACUUGAGUGCAGAAGAGG